GGCAAGGACUUUGCGAGGAUCAAGGAGAAGACGUUGGACGGGAGCGUGUAGUUUAUAACGCUAAUAUCUUCUGUUUCCUUGGAAACGAUCGCAGAACGCGUUUCUUCUCGAGCAGUAACGUCCGCCAAUAUGUCUCCCCUAAAAGCGUCAGGGUGGCAACCGUCGUCUCUGUACGCUACCGAUGUGGUAACAGCUGCCGAAUCGUCGGUUGGUUCGACCGAUCCAUCCGGAGGACCGAUAACAGCAACAUUCGCCUUUUUUUCGAAACGUCCAUUGGAAUCGCAAUUGGACGUUCUCGAAAUUUAAAGCGCGCGGAGCAACUCUUGUCAUUGUAUUUUUUUCACACUUUAACGGCUCGCGACUAUGGUAAUCGAG
rnacentral:misc_RNA from 1 species